rnacentral:misc_RNA from 1 species
GUGAAUCAUCAAAUUUUUGAACGCAAGUUGCACUCUCUUCGGAGAGGAUGCCUGUUUGAGGGUCAGCCUAAAAAAAAAUCGACGUGGUCGCUGGUUCUCUGUGGCAUUCGGCGGAAAUUGGGUCAUCUUAAACCUUUGGGUUUUUUAAUCGGCUUAAAAUUUUCUGUACGAUUCCACUAACGUUUCGAAGAUUUACUUACAAGUUUAAGGUAUCGAUCUUUAUUAGACGUGGCCGUUGCAUCUGAUCACGUCCAUAAAUAUUUCGUUAACUUACGUCAUACGGGUAAAAACACCCGCUUAA